rnacentral:rRNA from 1 species
GUUGUAUGGUUAAGUGACUAAGCGUACACGGUGGAUGCCUUGGCAGUCAGAGGCGAUGAAAGACGUAGUAACUUGCGAUAAGCCCAGAUUAGGUAGUAACAACCAUUUGAGUCUGGGAUUUCUGAAUGGGGAAACCCACGUGCAUAAGCACGUAUCCUUACCUGAAUACAUAGGGUAAGGAGGCGAACCGGGGGAACUGAAACAUCUAAGUACCCCGAGGAAAAGAAAUCAACCGAGAUUCCGAAAGUAGCGGCGAGCGAAAUUGGACUAGCCCUUAAGCUUUACACGCGUUAGACGAACGGUCUGGAAAGUCCGACGAUACAGGGUGAUAGUCCCGUAGUUGACGACGUGUGUUCAGUGAAAUCGAGUAGGGCGGGACACGUGAUAUCCUGUCUGAAUAUGGGGGGACCAUCCUCCAAGGCUAAAUACUACUGACUGACCGAUAGUGAACCAGUACCGUGAGGGAAAGGCGAAAAGAACCCCUGUGAGGGGAGUGAAAUAGAACCUGAAACCGUGUACGUACAAGCAGUAGGAGCAGGCUUUGUCCUGUGACUGCGUACCUUUUGUAUAAUGGGUCAGCGACUUAUAUUCAGUGGCAAGGUUAACCAUCUAGGGGAGCCGUAGGGAAACCGAGUCUUAACUGGGCGUUCAGUCUCUGGAUAUAGACCCGAAACCAGGUGAUCUAGCCAUGGGCAGGUUGAAGGUUGAGUAACAUCAACUGGAGGACCGAACCGACUAAUGUUGAAAAAUUAGCGGAUGACUUGUGGCUAGGGGUGAAAGGCCAAUCAAACCUGGAGAUAGCUGGUUCUCCCCGAAAGCUAUUUAGGUAGCGCCUCGGACGAAUACUACUGGGGGUAGAGCACUGUUAAGGCUAGGGGGUCAUCCCGACUUACCAACCCUUUGCAAACUCCGAAUACCAGUAAGUACUAUCCGGGAGACACACGGCGGGUGCUAACGUCCGUCGUGGAGAGGGAAACAACCCAGACCGCCAGCUAAGGUCCCAAAUUACUACUAAGUGGGAAACGAUGUGGGAAGGCUCAGACAGCCAGGAUGUUGGCUUAGAAGCAGCCAUCAUUUAAAGAAAGCGUAAUAGCUCACUGGUCGAGUCGGCCUGCGCGGAAGAUGUAACGGGGCUAAGUAGUAAACCGAAGCUGCGGCAAUGUGCUUUUGCACAUUGGGUAGGGGAGCGUUCUGUAAGCGGUUGAAGGUGUGUGGUAACGCAUGCUGGACGUAU